rnacentral:siRNA from 1 species
UAUGUUCCCCUGGUGUUAAG